UCAAGUAAUGUGUUAUAUUUACUCAUGGAAACGAUUAAGGAAACACAUGAAAGUACAAGUGUUCCUCUAUGUUUUCCAGGUUUCUUCACAAGGUAUGUAUUGUACUGUGAGUG